GCCGUACCAGUACCACCGCUCAGUGCCUGUGUGCGUUUCGAAUAAAUCCCGCCUACCUGAAUUUCCAUGGCAACAGCUGGGCGCAACACACAUGAAGAGUGUCCUCAGCAUGCUCUCGGGACAACGCCCUCUGGCGUGGGAGCUCACAGCUGCACAGAAACGAAACUCAUUUGGAUCAUGUCAGCAGAGGAAAAUAUUCCCCCUUUGUUACGCUCCAGACCGAUUAGGCAAUGAGAAUGUACCAAUUAAAGGUGAUCCUGAUCGUGGACCUGGAGCUUAUAACCAUGCAGAGAGGACCAGCCUUCUAUAUCACCUGGCUCACAGACCAGAGAGUACUAAAGGUUACACCAUGGGAGCAAGAACAACUCCACGUUUUGGACUACUCAACAAGCAUGUGACUCCUGCUCCUACUACAUACCAAUCUAUAUGGAUCAAAGACCAUCACAAGCAUCACCAGCCUGCAUUUGCCCCAUUUCACAGCAACAUUCCACGAUUUACUGAGCAACUUCAGGACAAAGACUUUUUCCCUGGACCUGGAACCUAUGAUGCAUACAAUAUGCCACACAGGCAUGUCACCUGGCCAGGAAAAUUUGGGUCCCCAGAUUGGUCUCUAGUACCAACGCCAGUGAAAAGGACUCUGAGAACUGAGCUGCUCACUGACAAAGAGUUUAGGAAGCACCGGAACCUAGUGGCCUACCUGAGCAUAUACUACAGUGAUUAAUUCUUCUGGUUGGAGUCUUUCCUCUUCUAUGUACUUUGGAGUCUUUCCUCUUCUAUGUACUUAGGCUGCUAAUUUGCCUUUUUUAUUGUUAGACAGAAUUGGGACUUUUUUUGCUCAUUUGUUACUCUAAUUCAGUAACCAGACUGCUUCAUAAACAGCUGGUUUGUUAUGCCUUUCAGUGUCUUUUACCUUCUAGUUUUAUUGUUUCGUUCAAAACUCUCAGUUGAUUUUAUGUGAAACACCCACAGUUGUGAAGCUAUAAAGCAGCUUCAACUGUAUAAGCUGGGCCUAUUGCCAACAGUCAUUCAAGACUUUCAGUUUCCCUUCCCUGCUGCAUGUGCCAGCCCUCCUAGUUUGCUGUUUAUUGGGCUAGGAGAAUGUAUGAGAGAAGCACAGGUUUCCUCUGUCACUUCUAUUUAUACACUAGUUUUGAAAAUCUUGUCAACAUUUUGAGGCUUGAGGUUGCAAUCCCCACAAAAGCUGUGUCAAUGGAAAAAGUUGUUACUGCCUGGAACAGCACAUCCUGGUGAAAUAAUGGGAUGCAGAAUUUUUGCAAGAUUUAUCUGCAGCCCCUCCCUAUGCUGCUUGCACCACUUGGAAGCAUCUGCCAUGUAUAUCUGGUGUGCUUAAAUAUGAUGCAAGGAUAGGUGGCCUGGGGUGCAUUUUUUUGCAUCGCAGUGACUGCUUCUUCAAUCUCUGCAUGUGGCUGAGAAUACAGCAACAAGCAUUCACAUCCUCAUAAAAUCCUAGAGCUGGAAGAGGUCUUGUAGACCAUCUAGUACUACCUCCUUCUUGAUGCAGGAGUUCAGAGCCCAAGCAUCCCCAACAGAUGGCUGCCCAGCCUCUGCUUGAACUUCUUCAGCAAGGAAGAGCUUCAACAGGAUGUCCCUGUUUUGCUGCCAAACUGAUCAGCAAAAGGAGUCCGCUUCGCUACUUGAAGGAACAAGUGGCACCAGGUCCUGCAACAAAAUGGUGCAGCCAAGGUAUCUUCACAUCCUUGCAGGUUGGUUAAAUAAUAAUCUGGUAUCUGCCUCUUCCUUGAGCAAAAAGCCACCUGAUCAUCUUUUGGACCUUGACAGCAAUGUUAAGGAACUACUCACUCAGCAACAAACAGCUGCCUAAAAACUAGCAUAAGAUGAAGCUAUCUGUGUCCUUGCUUUUUUAAAAUUUACUUUUUAAAGGCAGGUGGAAACAAAUAGCUACAGGAGAGCCACCUAGUUAUGUUGGUCAGCUUUUUUUUCCAAGUUAAAAAUAUCAGAAGCCUGAAAGAAAUAUCUUCAUUAUCAUCACUAUUGUGCUACAACUUGAAAUUAUUUAUAAUGCAGGUAAAUUCAAUGUUUAUUACUAGAUUCCAUAGUGAAACAGAUAAUCAAGACCACCAAACAGAACCAUGUGCAUUCCUAAUUACACAUACAUCUCACAAUCUUCCACAUCAGAUUAACAGAAAAGGAAGAAUUUGUAGCUCAGGCCUAGAUAAUUACAUUCUAAUAGACAGUGAGUGUCUCCAUUAUAUAUUUGCUUGCAUGUUCUGGAGCACAGAUGACAAUAUGUGUGGCUAUCUAUUGAUAUGGCUGUCCUUGAAUUCAAUUCAUAUCUAAAGUUCAUGUGAAGGCUCAAGGAGGUAAGAGAUUUGACAUGGGCCUAUCUUUCUUUCAGCACACAUCUCAUUCCUCAAUUUGUCUGGUGUGAUUCUUUAUAACCUGCCAUAGGAGAACAAAUUCAUAUCAGAAGUAUAUCAGAUAUGUGCUGGAUUUUUAAGCAUCUAACAUACAACAGAGAAAAACACCCAUGAAACAUUUGGCCCUGUAUUGCAAUACUUCCUCAGGCUCUAGGCCGAACUAGACAUGACGUUAAGCACUGCAUUGGCCCUUGCAUGCCUGGUUGUUGUUUACUAAGUAUGCAUCUAGUCUGAGACCACCAUGAGGUGAAGGCAUUAAACCAACAGAGGCCAGUGUGGUGGGGUAAAGCUGCACAGCCACCCUCCCAUCACCACCACUGCUACAACUUAUCUGGAUGACAGUGGGGCUAGGCAGUCUGGAAGAAGCCUUUGUUGGACCAGAAUCCUAAUAAAUAGACUGACAGCAGAAUCUUAUUUCUCCUAUACAUAUCCUCUCAGAAGAAGGGGUGUGAGAAAAAACUGAUUCGUUUUGCAAUUUUAUGUGAAUUUGCACUUCCCAAAACAAUAUACAAAUCAAAAUACAGUCAUCCUUCAAAAUUCACACUUUUCAGAAUUAUUGUGAUGCAAUUCUACAACAAUAAAAUGUGCACCAAAUGGUGAAUAUCAGGGGAAAGUGUGCAUUAAAAAGUAUAUAUUAAUAGAAGUAACUUACAAAAAUGCAUUGUAAUAGGCAAAAUUGCUUGCAAAAAUGUGUAUAAGAGAAUUGUGUCCCAGAUCCUGAAGAAUUGUCAUGAGGACCUAAAAAAAAAUCACAAAAUGAUGCAUUGAACCGAAUUUAAGAUUGAAAAAAAGAGAAACUGAAACUGACAGAUUCUUCCACCCCUACUCCUUUGAGUGUAAUGGGCCUUAUUUCCAGGUAAAUGUGUAUUUUAUAGACUUGCAGCCUUUGCUGUUGUUUUUAUUUGAUCUUUUGCUGCUGUUUUAAACUGGAUUUUCUGCUGCUGUCUUAACUUUAACUUAACUUUAUUUGUUAUAGUGCUUGUUUUAAUUCAUGCUGUGAGCAACUUUGUAAACUA